GCUCAGGGAUUAGGGUGGCUCCAGGAUUAGGGCGGAUCCUGCUGGGAUUAGGGCGGAUCCUGCUGCCUCAGGCGCCCGCUCCUUUGGAGUUCCCGUUGAGUUCGCGGGGUUCUGAGAGAAUUGGUGCGCGGAGCCGAGUGGAGGCAGGGUGUUCACGGGAAGUGUGGGUAGAGUGUCAGUGAGAGUUCGGGAAUAAAGAGUUGCUGUUUGAAUCUACAAGGCUUUUGUGGUGGCUCGGUUAUUUUGUGCCCAGCCAGACUGUGGCAUACUUUAAGUGUGUUUUACUGGGAUUUUAGUUUAGAAGUAAGAAAGCUUACCAAUAAUCAUAAGUAUGCUUUAAAGUUAAAGGUUAAUGAAAUAAUUAUAGGUAUGCUUUAAAUUUAAAAGUGAAUAAUAGGUCAGGAGUCAUGUAGUCUGGUUGUGUCGCCUAGCACCUAGAGAUUGAGGUGAAAACGUAAAAGCUUAAUUAUGACUGUCUACGGUUACAGAAAAAUAUUUUGAACAAUGUACUCAAUAUCCUAGGUAAUUAAUGUAUGUCAGAAAAGAUUGUACUUCUUGAAAAUUAUGUAAAUCAAAAAAGUUUUGGGGGCUGGGCAUGUGGCUCAAGCGGUAACAUGCUCGCCUGGCAUGCGCAGGGCACUGGGUUCGAUCCUCAGCACCACAUAAAAUAAAGAUGUAGUGUCC
rnacentral:lncRNA from 1 species